CUUCACUGAGAUCUUCGGACGAGGCCAACGGAGGCAAUUUCCUCACGUGUUCCGCACGCUUGUCCAUGUCACGCUAGCGGCACGGUUGCCUGAAACCAUCAUUGCACAGGUAUAUUCAUUUACGACAUAAAAGAAAAAACGGUUUAUUAUAUGCAGUUUCUUAAUCGCGUCGGUCUGGCCCCUCAAAAAACAAACAGAAGGUACGAUGUUUCAUACCAAUCGAAGUUCUACACAUUUUUAUACUCAACAUCACACUCAACUGUGUGUUAUUCCUACAGAAGCCAUCAUGCGAUGUGGUUGACGGCUGUACAUUUGUGCAAGACGAAAGUUAACAAGUAAAAUAUGUAGAUAUGUUAAUUAUAUUAUUAUUUAUUACACAUAUGGGAAUGGCAUCAUUUACAGACAUUUGUUCAACACGAAUGUGCAUUUGUUAAAGGUUAUUUAUUUAUUAUGGGCUAUAGCGUACUAAGCUACUACAUAUAUAUGUGUGUGUGUGUGUGUGUGUGUGUGUAGCAUCGCUUUAUCGAUCCGUGGGACAUCAAAAAGUCCCGACGACCUACAAAUCGGCCACAUUUCGUACGUUAUACACAUGUACCUGCUGACAUUCAACGAAUUCUCUUCGUCUUUGCACUGCGGUUAAAAAUAACACCGAAACCGUGUCCAAGUCAUAGAAGAAAGGUUUUUUUUUUUCAAAGAAAUAUUUCAAGUUCAUGUUGACCUAUAUGGGAUAGGUCUACCCAAUCUCCACGAGUAGGUGUCAAAAACUAACGAAACGAACAAUAAUAAUUUAGGAUUUUUGACACGCGAAUAAUGCAAAUUUAUACGAAAGCAUAUUUUGUGUUAAUAAUGCACUUGUAUAAAUGCACUUCAAAAUAAUGUCAUUAAAUGUACAAACGAAACACUCUAAAAAGAUGUAUUGGUGAAUCCCCGAGUAUUGAGGUCAAGUAGAUUCAGUCACCUAAUUGCACAUAUAAAAUAUGAAUUGUACCUGGACCAACGGGUGGGGUGAAAUCUAAUACCUAUACCUCUUGCCUUUUUUUUCACCUCCACUAAUAAAAAUCAAUAGCACCUGAAGUCUUAUCUUGAUUUCGAUCGGAAGCCCUUCAAUCGUUAUAUUACUACUAUAUUAGUUGUUACACUUGUGUCUUGUAUAAUACAUUUUAUGAACUCAAUGUUUGUAAAGUUCAAUUAUUUCAAGAUAAUGUUGCAAUUUACAAUUCGAGGUAAAUAUUAUUUAUUAUUUAAUUUUCCCAAAAAUGCAUUAGUUCAUUUGAAAAUGUUUGUCUAAAUAAUAAAUUUGAUUAGUUUUUAUGUUCACAUUAUUUAAAUCAAUAUAAUUAUUUUCGAUAUUAAACUUACAAUAUAGUCACAGUAG
rnacentral:lncRNA from 1 species